GAAAGAUUCAUCGCUUUAAGAACGGCCCGCGGAAGAUUAGGUAGUUGGUGGGGUAAAGGCCUACCAAGCCUACGAUCUAUAGCUGGUCUGAGAGGACGAUCAGCCACAUUGGAACUGAGACACGGUCCAAACUCCUACGGGAGGCAGCAGUGAGGAAUAUUGGGCAAUGGAGGCAACUCUGACCCAGCCAUGCCGCGUGAGUGAAGAAGGUUUUCGGAUUGUAAAGCUCUUUCGGAUGUGACGAUGAUGACGGUAGCAUCUAAAGAAGCCCCGGCUAACUUCGUGCCAGCAGCCGCGGUAAUACGAAGGGGGCAAGCGUUGUUCGGAAUUACUGGGCGUAAAGGGAGUGUAGGCGGUUUAGUAAGAUAGUGGUGAAAUCCCAGGGCUUAACUUUGGAAUUGCCAUUAUAACUAUUAGACUAGAAUUACAGAGAGGAUAGUGGAAUACCCAGUGUAGAGGUGAAAUUCGUAGAUAUUGGGUAGAACACCAGUGGCGAAGGCGACUAUCUGGCUGUACAUUGACGCUGAGGCUCGAAAGCAUGGGGAUCAAACAGGAUUAGAUACCCUGGUAGUCCAUGCUGUAAACGAUGAGUGCUUGUUGUCGGUAUAAAAUCG
rnacentral:rRNA from 1 species